rnacentral:rRNA from 1 species
AUUGAACGCUGGCGGCGUGCCUAACACAUGCAAGUCGAGCGGUAACGCGGGGGCAACCCUGGCGACGAGCGGCGGACGGGUGAGUAAUGCUUGGGAAUCUACCCAGUAGUGGGGAAUAACCAGUCGAAAGAUUGGCUAAUUCCGCAUACGCCUCCUCUUCAUACCGAGGAGAAGGGAAAGCGGGGGACCGUAAGGCCUCGCGCUAUCGGAUGAGCCCAAGUCGGAUUAGCUAGUUGGAGGGUAACGGCCUACCAAGGCGGCAAUCCGUAGCUGGUCUGAGAGGACGACCAGCCACACUGGGACUGAGACACGGCCCAGACUCCGUACGGGAGGCAGCAGGUGGGGAAUAUUGGACAAGUGGGGGCAACCCUGAUCCAGCGACGCCGCGUGUGUGAAGAAGGCCU